GACGAACGCUGGCGGCGUGCUUAACACAUGCAAGUCGAACGGAAAGGCCCUGCUUUUGUGGGGUGCUCGAGUGGCGAACGGGUGAGUAACACGUGAGUAACCUGCCCUUGACUUUGGGAUAACUUCAGGAAACUGGGGCUAAUACCGGAUAGGAGCUCCUGCUGCAUGGUGGGGGUUGGAAAGUUUCGGCGGUUGGGGAUGGACUCGCGGCUUAUCAGCUUGUUGGUGGGGUAGUGGCUUACCAAGGCUUUGACGGGUAGCCGGCCUGAGAGGGUGAACGGCCACAUUGGGAGUGAGAUACGGCCCAGACUACAACGGGAGGCAGCAGGGGGGAAUAUUGCACAAUGGGAGGAAGCCAGAUGCAGAAAAGCAGCGUGCGGGAUGACGGCAUUCGGGUUGUAAACAGAUUUAGAAUGUGACGAAGAGUGAGUGACGGUAAUGGGUAAAGAAGCACCGGCUAACUACGUG
rnacentral:rRNA from 1 species